rnacentral:rRNA from 1 species
CAAAGGUAGCAUAAUCAUUAGGGGUUUAAUUGGAACCUGGUAUGAAGGGUUGGACAAAGGAGAAACUGUCUUUCUGAUAUAAAUUGAAAUUUACUUUUAAGUGAAAAGGCUUAAAUUAAUCAAAGGGACGAUAAGACCCUAUAAAGCUUUAUAAAUAAUUUAAAUUUAAUUAAUUUAUUAAUAUAAAGGUUAAAUUUAACUAUUUUGUUUUGUUGGGGUGAUGUGAGUAUAAGUUGUGUUAACUGCUUAAGAAAAAAUUCUAUUAUAAAAGAGUUUAUAAUAUGCAUGAUCCUUUAUAAAGAUUAGAAGACUAAGUUACUUUAGGGAUAACAGCGUUAUUUCUUUUGAGAGUUCAUAUCGAAAAAGAAGAUUGCGACCUCGAUGUUGAAUUAAAAUAUCUAUAUAAUGCAGUCGUUAUAAGAGAGGGUCUGUUCGACCUUUAAAGUUUUACAUGAUUUGAGUUCAAACCGG